CUGGAGGAAGUGGGGAGCCAUUUGAAUUUUGGUUUCUUUCCUCUUAAUUAUCUGGGGUUGCCCUUCGAGAAAUCGGUUCUCUUUGCAGUUGGGAAAUUAACCCUUAAUCUCCACAAAUGAGGGCAAUCAACCCAUUUACUAAAUAAACACAGAUCAUUACGGCUUGGCCGCCCCUCAUUGUGAUUUAAUUUGAGAAUGGGUUCACCUGAGCAGGAGCAGGGGCGUGACCCAGUGCUGUCCCCUAGGGGAGGUGGCAGGUUGAAAAGUGGCUGAGAGGGUGGGGCGGGACUGGAGGGAGCUUUGAGAUUUCUUUAUGUGUGGAAAUCUUGGCCCCGCCUUGACUUGGUUUUUACCUUGCGAACUGAGCAGGAAGCGCUCUGUUGUGUGGUGUUAGCUUUGGCUUUGAGAGUGCAAGCUGGUUAAAGCGGCUUUUAUUUGGAUGUUGACUGCUGAAGCCCCUGGGUGGGAACAGAGAAGCCCUUUAUGUCUUAGUUAGCUCGUAUUAAUACGUUGAGGAAUCUGUCCUUGCAUUGAAUCCCCUGCCUCACCCACCAGUCACUCUGUUUAUUGGUAGCCACAAAAGUUUAUUUAAAUCCUGGGGACGUUGACUGCUGUGGGAUGCUGUGCCAAGCCCACAGGGGGUGCCCAAUAAAUGAUUGAGUCGAUGAAUUACUGUGGCCCAGUUCAAAUGGAAAAACCUGUGAAGAAAGCUCAUGGCCUUCACUUAUUUGAAAAUAUGCUACUGAGGAGCCACUUCAUCAGGUAAAAGCGUUUGACACCGGAUCUGGUGACCUGAAUUUCAUCCCUGGAACCCACUUGGUAGACAGAGAAAACUGAUUCUCUCUAACUGUCCUGUGACUUCUACACAUGUGCUGUGACAUGUACAGCCAAGCGUGCCAUACACGUACCCACAAAAAAAGUAAGAACGCUUAAGCGCGAGGUGUGAAAUGAACCGGCUGAUCGAAAGGACUGAAAUUAAAAUCCACACAGUUCCGUUCCUCGGCCUCUGUUUUUAUCGGGGUGGCUUCUGCGUGGGAGAUCUGCUAGGAAUCUGGUGAGGGUAGCUGUUCUGCUUGGUGCCUGCCAGGCACCGAAGGUGGCCCCUCGCAGCUGUACCUCAUCAGGAAGGCCCCGGGAACGGGGGCGGGGGACUUUAGCUGAGGUCCAGCGUGACCUCAGCCCCAGAGAGAGGAGGGGUCGUCUCUGCUGGGGUCUGCCCUGGGGAAGGGGCUGCCGCCCGCUCCUGUGGCCUCCAGCAGACCUGUGAAGAGCUUCUACUGAAGGGGGGGGGGGGAGGCAAGACGGCCCCGGAGGCAGAGGGAACUUCUAGAGCGGAGGUAAACAAAGGACUGCGACAGACUUCUCACUUCGGCAAAAGGCGCUUUGGUCUCCCUGUGAAACUUCACUCCUCCUCUCCCCAGCCGCCUUCCAUUUACAGAGUUCGUCCCGGCCCCAGGGAUGGGCCCCGUUUUAAAGCCCUAGUUCUAAAGACCAUAUUGGUCCUGCAUGCUUAGUUUUGGCACCCUGGGAUGGUGAUGUCCUGACUUAAAUCCCAGCUGAGCAGUUGGGAGUGAGCCAGCUGACCGAGUCCAGCGUCUGGGGCUGGCCGGAUCCUUACUAUUUUUAUGAACUGCUAACAUUUAUUUAGUGCUCGCCAUGCCAGAGACAUCCCGCUAAGCCCUCACCCCUCACUCCCUGAACCUUCAUCCGCAAGAGCCCUUGCAAGUGGCCACUUUUGAUUUGACCCGUGUGGCAGACCGAGUUACGGAGAGGUCUGAGAUCCCGCUGUCAAUAAGGAACAAACUUUGAACCCGCUCUUUCCUUGAAUGAGAAGGGGGUGGGGAGGUGUGAAAGGAAAGAAAGGGGGUGAAAUUUAGCCCGCCUUGAAGAGCAAGAGCUAGGGGCCUACGUGCGUCUGGCCUGGAGAAAGCCCCCCCACAGAGUGAAGAGAACCAGUCAACUCAGGUGUUCUCAGAGGAAGCUCCGUGAGGUUGAGCUUCUGUCUGGCGCCCCCAGCCAGCUGUCCCAGGGGACAUCACAGGUCCAGGGUGUUUGUGGGAGACUGGAUCACUAUGAAGCAUGUAGGCCACCUCCCCUGGUGCUCGGCCUGACACUGGGAAAAUUCCCACCAACGAUUUGAAAGGUCUGUUUUACCGAUGAAAAGAAGGCACGAUGGCCCAGGCAGGAUUAGCGUGGGCCACCGGAAACCCCUCCCCCGCACUUUGUUUACAGGUAUGCUUUGGGAGGUGUGGUUGAAAGCCCAUAUUUAGUAGCUUGUCCGCUGUGUGUCCUGAACAAGUUACUUCGUCUUCUGCAAAGCGGCACUAGCACCUGUCUGUCUCCCGGGAUUGGGAGGACCCAGCGAGAGGAUACGAUGAACCUGGCAGUCUGUAAAUGCUCAGUGGAAGGUCAUUACUUGCUACUGGUAAAGGUUUAGAGAGGCAAUUUAGGAAGGCAGGUGAUGGAGGCUUGUGCUUCCCCAGAAGGCCACCAGCAUGCUCUGUGUGCAGCUGAGAGUGACAGCUUUGGAGGAGUGACUGGGCAGAGCAAAGCCGGGCCUCCCUCCCUACGAAUAUUCCUGAUGAACCAAUAGGCUCCAGAGAUGGAUGUUUAUGAGCUGCCACGGCCUGCGAGAGCUGUUGAAGAGAAAGACUUCUUUUUCAAAUCUGAAUCUUUAUACCCCGCAGAAAAGAUAUUUGGGGCCUUCCAUAUUUAUUCCACCCAGGAUCAUUUUAGGCAUAGGUCUCUUGGAACCAAGAAUUGUGUUGCAUAAAAAUUAUAGGAAAAACCAAAAUCCUGGUUUCACUCCUAGGCAAGAUCACUGUCCCCUCAGAGGCUGAUCUAAUGGGAAAUGGAAACAAGUCGCAGUAGCAUAUUCUCAGUGUUCAGCUUGCCUCUUUAGUACUGUCUGGCCCGUUUCAUUCAGCAGCACAACAGUCUCGAUUGAUACAGCAUGUAGGAUGAUGUCCUGAGCUCGGGGUCUUGCAGGGACGGGGAUGGGGGUGGUGUCUGGGAGUCCUGGGGAAAAGCUGGUGAAGGUGGCUGUUCUUGGUGUUUCUCACCUGAGGUGACAUAUUUGCAAAGGAGAGGCCAGAAGCCGGUACUGACUGCCUGGUGAGCCCUGGCCACAGCACUUGCAUCAAAACCAUCUUGUAUCCAGGAGCCUUGGCACUAGUAGAUGCUUCAUAAAUAUCUGUUGGCUUAAUAAUCUGCUGUUUUCUACCUCCUCCCACAUUGUGCAGUUAAAUGUGUUAGUUUAAAGUAUGUUUCCUCACAGAUUUGAACAUUCCAGCACUGAAGUUUGUAUUCAUUUGUGUGUGCAGAAUAAAGAUUUAUUAUGGGGGCAGAGCCUAACCUGCUCCACUGCUGCA